rnacentral:rRNA from 1 species
UACAUCCUACGGGAGGCAGCAGUGAGGAAUAUUGGACAAUGGGGGGAACCCUGAUCCAGCGACGCCGCGUGAGUGAAGAAGUAUUUCGGUAUGUAAAGCUCUAUCAGCAGGGAAGAAAGAAAUGACGGUACCUGACUAAGAAGCCCCGGCUAACUACGUGCCAGCAGCCGCGGUAAUACGUAGGGGGCAAGCGUUAUCCGGAUUUACUGGGUGUAAAGGGAGCGUAGACGGCAAUGCAAGUCUGGAGUGAAAGGCGGGGGCCCAACCACCGGACGGCUCUGGAAACUGAAUAGCU